UGCAUAUAUAAAAAAAUAUCUUCUGUAUCCCUCCCCUUCGGCGUGCUAUCGAUGGAUUCGGAACCCUCUGUCUGUGGCUCGGUGGUCUCUCCCUCAAUCGGCACCGUAAGCACUGAAUCUAACCCUGGGUCACUAUACAAACGACAAAGCCUCAGAGCUUGAAACUGUUGUUCUUGCACUUGUAGAUUUGCAGCUCAACACCCACUUAGAUCUAUUCUUAUCUUCUCAAAUCUCAGAUCCAAGAAAUCAGUUAUUACAUAUGGUGUCCAGCGCCAGCAAGAAAAAGGCCGCGCAGAAGAAAGCGGUAAUAGCAGCUAAGAGAGAAGGCAAGGCGGCUGCUUCGUUGAAGGCGUCGGCAUCAGCUUCAGCCUCGGAUCGGACCUGCACCAGUGUCCUCUGCUCACAUCCCCUUUCCAGGGAUAUUAGGGUAGUUGGAGGAGAUCCGCUUCUGAGGCUCAUAGCAGUUGAUUGGUUCACAGUAUCUACAAACGAAAUUGCUCUGCAUCCUAGAUGUCUGGUUAAGUCAGAAGCUGGGAAAAAGCUUCCAUAAAUUUGACGCUGCAAAGGUUAAUUUUGACAAGGCACGUGAGUGUUUCUAGAGAGCUCUUGAUGAGGAUCCUAAGAAUGAGCUUUAUAAGAAGUCCUUGGAAAUUAUUGAUAAGGUCCCAGCAUUGCACAUGGAGAUCCACAAAAAUGGGCUUGGUCAGAUGACUGGUGGUGGGCAUCCUCUACACCUUCAAAAACAAAGGUUGGACUUACCGAAAUUCCAUUACAUUUAACUACAUUUA